rnacentral:rRNA from 1 species
GAUGAACGCUAGCGGCGUGCCUAAUACAUGCAAGUCGAGCGAACGGACGAGAAGCUUGCUUUUCUGAUGUUAGCGGCGGACGGGUGAGUAACACGUGGAUAACCUACCUAUAAGACUGGGAUAACUUCGGGAAACCGGAGCUAAUACCGGAUAAUAUUUUGAACCGCAUGGUUCAAAAGUGAAAGACGGUCUCGCUGUCACUUAUAGAUGGAUCCGCGCUGCAUUAGCUAGUUGGUAAGGUAACGGCUUACCAAGGCAACGAUGCAUAGCCGACCUGAGAGGGUGAUCGGCCACACUGGAACUGAGACACGGUCCAGACUCCUACGGGAGGCAGCAGUAGGGAAUCUUCCGCAAUGGGCGAAAGCCUGACGGAGCAACGCCGCGUGAGUGAUGAAGGUCUUCGGAUCGUAAAACUCUGUUAUUAGGGAAGAACAUAUGUGUAAGUAACUGUGCACAUCUUGACGGUACCUAAUCAGAAAGCCACGGCUAACUACGUG